rnacentral:lncRNA from 1 species
GGUGGCUGGAGGUGACCCAAUCCACCCAGAGAGUGGGGCUCCCAUGAAUCAACUGGAGGGAUGUGCAAGGGACUUCUAUUGAUGGCAGAAGCAUCACCAGUGCCAUUUACUUCUGUUUUUCUUCAUGCAGAACAAUGGCAGGGAAGGAUUCUCCCUUCUCUCAAAGACCUACUUGGGAUGGCAGGACACAGUGUGAGGCUGCGGACAAGAUCACCAGUGUCCAGCACUUUCUCAUCACAGCAUGUUGGGGGUCUCUGGCUGCAGAGAGCUUGACGUCAUAGUUAGGACAUUUUUUGGUGGCAAGGAACAGAGGCCAAUUCAAGGUAGCCAGUGUCCUGUCUCCACAUGUCCAAGAUGGGCAUGCAACUCACAUUAGACCAAAUUGAAACCGGUCACCAGAAUUCCUCACACUGUUUGGGAGUGAAAGACCUUUUGUUCUCUCUUCUGGCAAACCUAUGAAGAUAAUAAAGUGAAGAGAGGUUGAUGCUUGCCCAUGGAAGUGCAGUAGUAGAAAAUGGUAUGCUAGAGGCUUGCAUUCAGUGUACAUGGGAAUCC